rnacentral:rRNA from 1 species
CACGUAGGGUGCGAGCGUUGUCCGGAUUUAUUGGGCGUAAAGAGCUCGUAGGCGGCUUGUCGCGUCGUCCGUGAAAACCCACAGCUCAACUGUGGGCUUGCGGUCGAUACGGGCAGGCUAGAGUUCGGUAGGGGGAGACUGGAAUUCCUGGUGUAGCGGUGAAAUGCGCAGAUAUCAGGAGGAACACCAGUGGCGAAGGCGGGUCUCUGGGCCGAUACUGACGCUGAGGAGCGAAAGCGUGGGGAGCAAACAGG